CAAAUUCAUCUGUGUAACAUAUGUGGCAAUAAAUAGCUUCUGAUUCUGAAACAAAUGUUAUUUCAGAUCAAUAAUGAACAUGCUUUCCAUUGUUCGUUGCUCUGACUCCCAGGUAAUCACAACAUUAAGGUUCAGAUGCUCAGAUGAUACGUGGAAAGUGAAAUGUUUACUGAUUUGCUUUAUUGGAGAGUUUGAGCGUGUUUAACCAUGUUUAAAGUCAUCGGAAACUUUCAAGCUUUACCAUGGUUUGUUUGUAGGAAAUAAAUUUAGAAACACAAAAGUAAUCCUAAUCCUUUUCACACUGAAUUCAAAUCCUUGGAACACAAUUGAAAUGUGAGCAGCCACUUUGAGCUGCCAGUCCUGCUAAGGGCCAAGUUACUGAUGACGUGUGCAGUGAUGAGGUUGUUGCAGUGGGGGUAAUGUAAAGGCAUCAUACUCUAUUCGGAGUGAAUGGUAAACCAAUGCUAUUGCACUCAAUGAUCGCUGGGCUAAAUUUGGAAAGAACUGAGACAAUUAGAUUGGAUGAGAAGUGGGCUUGUAUGUAUACAUUCUUCUUCAAUGAGGGGAAAUUGCGUGAAGCGGUUGUGUAUGGGAACAAAAGUUUAGGCUUUUUGAAACACAGCUUUACUUUGACAUCAGACUGCCUUUUCUAAUGGGAAACUAAAGCUGCUUCCGAUCCUUCAUUUACAAAAACAGAAAUUUUACAUCCCUAGAAUUAUAAAGUAAACUCUGAUCCAUGACUACCAGGGCAUUCAUGGAGCGGUUGUGUCAUUUGUGCAUACAGUACAGCAGAUCACAGCUCUCAGACCUUUUGCUCAAUCUCCUCACACUGCAAAAUUCUUGAGCAGAAAAAAAUCAAACAUGCUUGAAAGAAAUUAGAUUUCUAGGGCCUCACAGAACAACCAUCCAACUGUACAGACAAAGGACUGUUGCUCCGAUUUCUGAAGCCUGUGUGGAAUAGCUGGAUCCCAGCUUUUGUGCUACACUGUACACCCAGCCCUGGUUAGCCUUCCCAACAGGGCAAAGAAUGCAUUCUUCAUACACUUGAAGCUGUGCCUUAACAACCUCAGCAGAUUAAAGUUUCAUGAGGGCUUUCCAGGCUUGACAAAGAGUACACAACGUCUCGCUCUCUUUAGCAGAAGGAACCGAGACGCAGAGGAGGUCUGUUGGAAAAAGUGGUCGGUGGUCUCUUUCAUUGUGUCUCUUUUAUUGGCUUUUCUGAAGUUUCCAAAUCGAAACACACAGCUGGUUCAGCUGUAUCCACUUGUGUGUAUUCUGUAGAACAAUUACAUGUGAGACAGUAUGUGGGUCAUUACUUCAGAAUCAUGCAAUUAAGGCCAGAAUAAUUAGUUUUUCCAUAAGGUAUGAUAAACAGAAAGGUUUUGCGCACACGCACAAUGAUAUCAUUGUACAAGUACCAUCAUAUUCUUUAUGCCGAGACAUACAUCUGAUCAUCAUGAGACACAAAGUGGCCUUAUGGACACCUGAGAUACACGUCACACAGAUUUCAUAUCCUGAGGGGUCAUCUUAUCUCAGCUGACAUAUCAUACACCCAACGUAUUGUACAACAAUACAGACAUAGUCCUCUUUUUGUCUAAACCUCCCUUCUUGACAUGACAUUAUUUGCAGUUUUUACAACACAGAAGCUCUCUAAUGCUAGUGUUGUGUAUUGGAAUUCCUCUGAGAAAGGCCCUUUGCAGGAAUGCGAUCCGUCAGCAAAAUAUGUCUGGAAAGAUACUUCAAAUGACAUCAAGGAUGUUUAUUCCUAGCAUAAUCAGGAAGGCUGGUGAUUUCUAGGAAAUGUUGGGACAUAGACUGUCUUGAAGUCCCUCUUUUCACACGUCCUUACAUCCAUAGGUCCUAUAGGUAUGAUUUCCAGUUCUCUUCCUGUCACCACUCCUUCCACUAUUGCACAACACUUCCAAUGCCAAACCCCCUGGUUGCCAGCUCAGCCACACACUAAAAGGCAGUUUAUGUCAAAUGGGACCACUGAAUUACGAUGGGCAUCCCUGUGUUGCAUUAUGACAAUAAAUACUCAUAUAGCUAUCAGGAUAUACUGUAUAUUCACAUAUAAAGUUCAUCAAUACUUUCAAUUUCAGGCCAAAUCUUCCCCAGAUUUACUUAAUGCAAGCAGAUAUGUUACGUGCAUGGACUCCAUUUGAAUAGAUUAUUUGGUUGCACCAUUUCAGUUGUGAAUGUGGGUGUGAGCUGGCCAUGGGAGUGUCACAUAAACCUCGAGUAAAGAACAUCUGGGAGCCGGAACCACACUCAGGAAGAUCUACCAUCAGAAAACUGUUUUGUAAAAGCUCCCUUCUACAUAAGGACGUCAUCAAAAUAAUCUUUCAUGCCGGUUUUAAACACAAAGGCACUACAUUCAAUACCUUUUUUACAAAGAGAUAAGAGGCCAUAUAUACAGUAUAUGGUAUAUGAUAUAUUUGCAGGUCAGAGCAAUAACAUUGAUCACUCUCCAGCAAGGUGAGUUCAACAUGUCACAAAACUAGAUAACUUCCCUUGGUGAAAUAACUUUUACAAAACUGGCUUGUUGUGUCUGGAGAAAGCAGCAGGAUCAACACCUAUAACUCAAUUAGAUACGGCGUUAGAAGCUACCAGAAGUAUCACAUGACCUCCAGUUCAGGCUGUAGCCAAUGCAGCUCACCACACUUAGCUUUGCAUUGUUCCUUGGGGGCUUCCAUCAGCCCCAGAACCCCACCUGCAUGCUCCACCAACAUCGGCUGAAACUGCACAUACACAGCCAAGAUGUCACGUUAAAAGAAGAGGAGGCCUUUGUUAUUAUUUCAUGGUAUUCUUGAGAAAUGUCUCAUUAGUUAUGUUGGAUUAUUGUGGCGGACAACCUAGUCUGAUGGCCCAUAGAUCUAUAGUUAUUUCCAAACCAAUAACUCUGACAACUUUUAACAUUUAAUCUUACAACAUCCACAAAAAGUAUAAAAGGCGUUUAAGAAAAAUUUGCAGAUUUCCUGAAAAUACAACCAAAUACAUUGAACCGGGGCCAUAUAUAUUUUUUAAAACUUUUUAUUGUUGCAUCGCUCCCUGUAUUUAACACUUUACACUGUUGUGUACAUCAUCUGUUAGGCUCCCUCCCUCUGCAUGCAUGUGUGCAUUGACCUGCUUCCCUCCUCAGCUUCAGCUGUAACAAGUACCGUAAGCUAUAGCAGCAAUUCAAGUUUCAUCUGUAGGUGUACUGACUGUCAAGGUUCAUGAAGCGCCCUCUCCUCGUCUCGUGUGUUUGUUGUGUUAUGUGGGGGGGUGUGAAGUGGGCGGAGUCAGCAGCCCAGCGUAAUCGACAGGCCAGCUGUAGCUCGUUUCGCCACCCUAUGAGACUCUCACCGUGUCCCUCCUCUCAUUGUCAGAUCGUUGUUUGAUGUCUCCCGAGUGUGUCGGGUUCCUGUCAGCGUUCCAGUCUCGUGCUUCGUAUCGUGUUCCUGUGUUUCUGAGUUCGUUGUCGCCGGAUCUCUCUACCUCUGGGCUCACCAUCAUCCCUCUCCCCGGGGUACAGGCUGACCACCCCGUCCAUGCGCCACCCACCACCAGGAAGAUCUCGGAAGCUUGAGGACUGCAAUUAUUGACUCUGACAUAAUAAACGUUGUUUUCACUCGCAUAUCCGGUGAGCCAUCCUUUUGCAGAGCAUUUCUGACACGAUGUUCAAUGCAUUUUUUUCCCUCCAGCCCAGAACAUUUUCCACUGAGCGAGCAUGUUCCUGCAUGGGCCGGCUGACCGGGUCGAGAAGGAGAUCUGGACCUUCCCACAACCCUGAACGACCUAAUUGGACUGGCACUUCGGGUGGAUGCACGACUAUCCAGUCGCGCAGUGUUCUGGGCCCAGCCGGAUUCCUGUGGAGGAGAGGAUCGGCGGUUCAGCGGCGGGGACACGGUCCGUUCCGGCUACGAUCACGAGCCUAUGCAGGUCCUGAGAACCUGGCUUUCCCGGAAGGAGAGGCGGCGGUCCCAAGGCCUUUGCUUGUACUGCGGCGCAGCGGGACAUUACGCGUACAACUGCCUGGUAAAAGGCCAAGCCCGGCAGUAAGUUUGAGGCUACCGUCGGGUGGGAUCUCCGCUGAGAAGACCUCAUCAAAUUCUACGUUCCUUCCGGUAAGACUGAGAUGGUCAAGCCACACGCACGACUGUCAAGCCCUGGUGGAUUCCAGAGGGUAGUUUUCUGGACCAUGCCCUUGCACUCAAGCUUAAUAUUCCCCUUCUACCCCUCACCCACAAGAUAUCGGUUCACGCACUAAACGGUCAAGACCUACCCAACAUUUUGCUCACCACCGGACCCAUGACACUCAUCACCUCAGGCAACCACUCCGAGACCCUUUCCUUUUAUGUCCUGGACUCUCCGCUCGCUCGCUCCCGUAGUUCUGGGACAUCCCUGGCUCACCCAACAUAACCCCAAGAUGGCAGCAGAAGUCGGUGUCUGAGUGGAGCGGUAGAUGUCAUGAGUCCUGUCUGGUAUCUGCCUGUCCGUCUGUUUCUGUCUCUGUGUUCCAGGAGGAGGCGGUGGACUUGUCUAACGUGCCCGCGGAGUACCUCGGUCUAAGGGAGGUGUUCAGUAAGUCUUGGGCUGCUUCCCUGCCCCCGCAUCGCCCUUAUGACUGUGCUAUCGAGUAAUUACCUGAUAAAUCUCCUAAGGGCAAGUUAUAUUCACUUUCGGCUCCAGAGAGUGAAGCAUUGGAGAAAUAUAUUUCUGAUCCUCUAGCAGCAGGGUUCAUCCGCCAUUCCUCUUCUCCAGCGGGGGGGGG
ensembl:lncRNA